UUCCGCACCCUCUUCCGCAGUUCCCUUAGAUGCAGGAAUUUGCCUUCAAUCUGUGCCAUGUCUCAGGAUCCAAGAUUGUCCCCAGCAGGGCUCCAUCUUCAGCAUGUCAGCCUGCCUAAGCUAGGGUUAUCUCUGGGGCUCAAGUCCUGAACAAUGAAUCCACAGCUCCUGACAGCCAUUUUUCCAUUUUGUUGUUGUUGGAUAGUACAGAGAGAAAUCAAGAGAGAAAGUGUCUCUGUCUAGAGAACGAGAGUGAAAGAUAGACACCUGCAGAUCUGCAUCACCACUUGUGAGGCAACCUCCCCCCCUGCAGUUGGGGAGCUGGGGUCGAACCGGGAUCCUUACGCCAGUCCUUGCACUACUUCCUGGUCCCCUGUGUUUGAGGCCGUGAGUUUUAUUCCCAGCACCUUAAGCACAGACCCCCCCAAAAAAAUUGCCUUCAAGUCAGAGUUCUUGCUUAUCCAGAUUUACGUUCUGAUCUCUCUAAUUAAGCACCUUCAAAAUCAAGUUUAGAAACAUUCACCUGGCUCCCAGCUGUGCAUGGCUGCUGGCGCUUACGUGGAGUUCCUCCAACCUGAGGAAAGUACCAGGACCAGCAAGAAAGAUACAAGAGGGGUGAGUUGUAGUAUGGAGCAGAGACUUUGGAACUUCAACUGCUGCCAGAAUGUCUUUCUUCAAGCCUUUGCUGAAAUGUCCUCAGUUGCCGAGAACUUCCCAGACUCUCUCCAGCCUCCAAUGAGCCGACAGUGCUUUGCAGAAAUGUCUUUCAAAAAACUAUAUACUUAGGAUGAGGAGAACAUGUCCAGCUGUGAGAGGACAGUAACCAUGAGGGGAUGAAGGUGUUUGAUUCAAGGACCCAAACAAACAAACCAAAGAGCUGGAAGCCACCCUUGAAGUUUAUGUGCGUGCCAUGAUGAGCCUCUAGCUUACCAUUUCCAAAGUGGGCACCUUCAAAGUCAAAGGCUUGAAGCUGGACAUUGACUGUCUGCAGCUGCAGCUGGGAGGACAGCUGGAUGCUCUGCUCACUCACACACUUGAAGGAAUGUCCGACCACUGUCUCAAACAUCACCACUGCACUUUUCUUUCCAUGGUAAUUUUUCUCUGGAAACACAAAGGCGAGAUACAGACAAAUAAGAAUCUUGCUAAGGAGCUGGUUGGUAGUGCGUCUGGUAGAGCAUACAGGUUACCAUGCUUGACAACCAGAGUUCAAGUCCUGCAGGGGGGACCUCUCAUGAGCAGUGAGUGAUGUUGCAGGUGUCUCUCCCCUCUCUCUCUUUUUCCCUGUUUCUGCUUUCUCUCUCUCUCUCUCUCUUUCUCUCCCUCUCUCUCUCUCUCUCUCUCUUUCUCACACACACACACACACACACACACACACACACACACCCUGUAUUAAGAAAAAAAAAAAUAGCUGGGAAUUGCCGAAGUCUUGCAAGCACUGAGCCUCAGCAAUAACUUUGCUGGGAAAAUAACAAAAAGAAAAAAAAGAAUUUUGUCAAAUAAACAGCGAGUCCCAGCUGUAGCUGGUCCAUGUGCUGCUCAAUGGCUUUUCUUUAGACUCCCUGGGUUCCAGACAGCUCCUGAGAAAUCACUCUGGCAUCCACCAAGGGUUUUUCUGCUAUUGUGUUUGGAGAAGACAUGACUGUAAUGGAUACCACCACUGGCACACAAACCAUCGUGGCAGCGACCACUGCAGUUCCUGUUCCUACUGCUGGGCCUUGAUGACUGGAACCUGGAAUUGCUCUAGUCUCUCCGUCACCAUGAGACCUGCACUGCAUUUGGCCUGACUUUCUCUUCCCCUGCUUUUUGAGAGAUUACUAAAAUCUGACCUGUGUCUAGUGACAAACUGAGCUAGUGUCUGCUAACACUCAAACUACAUAUCCCCAGCCCAUUGUGGGAGACUUGCUGAAGCCAGUCAAUAUGUGUGAAAGUGAGUUGUAAAUGACGCCUUCUCACAUUAAGUUAAUAAUCAUUGGAAGCAUCCUUUGGUUCAGUAUCAGUAUGUGAUAGCUAAUAUUACUGAUAGAUGAUGUCUAUAUUUUUAUUUAUGGGAAGAUUUUCAUAACUAUUAAAAUAAUAAGCUUGAGCCAGUCAAGAAAAACAUAAUUUUCAAAAGGAGAAGACAGAUAUGAAUUCUCUUGGUACAGUACCAGGUGCAGAGGAGAUAGUAAAUACAUGUGUGUGAUCAAAACCUUCCAUUUCUAGAAAGAUAAAUAAAUAAAUAAACACUUGAGAGCUCUGAGAAAUCUCCAGGAUUUGACUGGGGACAUUACUUUCUUCUUCUCUUCCCCCUCCUCCUUCUUUAUUUUUAUUGUUUGUUUGUUUUGCCAGAGUACUGGUCAGCUCUGGUUUAUAGUAGUGGCGGUGGGGAUUUGAACCUGGGAGCUUGAAGCCUCAGGCAUGAAAGUCAUUUGCAUGAUCAUUAUGCUGUCUCCUCAGUCCUUUCUGCAGCUGAAUAUUGUAGGAGCUCUCUCAGCUUACUGCACUAUGGGAAAUUUUCCAUAUAGUUUCAGAAGUGAGUCUUUAUAAAUAUAACCUUAGAUAUUAUUUCCCUUAGAUAUUAUGUGGAUGAGCCCCCUGAAAUUUUAAUAUACCCUUCCUUUGUUUUUAAUUACAUUUUUAUUAGUGAUUUAAUAGUGAUGCACCCUAUUAUGAGAUCACAGAUGUCUAAUUCUACACCACUUCUACCACCAGAGUUCUGUGUCCCCACCCCUCUUCCAGCGAUAACUACCAUAGUCCUCCCAAGCUCACAGAUAUGUGUUCUCUCACUCUCCAUAUAUGUAUUCUUUUCAAAUUCAUGUGUUUCAACUCUGUAUAGUCCACAUAUAAGUGAAAUUAUCAUAUAAUUGUCCCUCACUUCCUUCCUUACUUCACUAAGCAUAAUUACUGCCAGUUCCAUUAAUUUUGUCCCAAAGGACACAAUAAAGUCUUUUUUUUCUUUUUUUUAAUUCUUGGAUAGUCAAAACUCCAUUGGGUAUAUGUCCCAUGAUUAUUCCUUCUCCUUCUGCUUCUUUUAUAUUUAUAAGACUCAAAUUAAUGAUUUUUAUUCCACUGUUUGUUAAAGGUUUCCCCCACCCUGAACUCUAGGUAUUCCUCAUAGGGUUUUCUUUUUUCUUUCUUCCUUCCUUUCUCUCUCUCUCUCCCUCUCUAUCUUUCUCUCUCUCAUUCUUUCUUUCUUUUUUCAUAUAUUUUGAACUUUUAUUCAGGAAAAAUGAAAGGGCAGGGCUAGAGAAGCACAUGGGCCAUUCGAACAAAGAUGGCCGACCCAUGUAUAAAUUCCUUUCUUUGUAGGUAACUUGAACUAGAAUCACUGGGGCCCCUGUUUCUAAAGCCCAGCAGUGACCUGUUCACGUAUUAUUUGUACAUGAUAUAGUUCAGGAUCCUGGGAAAUAAUUUAUAAAUUGGCUUUGCAGAAGAAGCUAAUACUCCUCUUAAAGGUGCAGCCACCAGGUAACCUAGUCUGGACUGCUGCCAUCUUGUUCCCAGGUCCUGCAACAUACCUUGCCUCUGUUUUUCCAAGUAGCUUUGAGAGGCUUUGCUCUCCAGUUCCCAUUUUAGCCAGUUGUCAGUAAAGUCCUGCCUCUUUCCCUAAUGCACCCAUGCUUCAUGUUUGACUUCAGUUGCACAAGCCCAAGUUGGGGCUUCUCAGGAAACCUCCAAUGGCAUCUCUUUACAUGUUAGAGGGAAGGCUGAAGUCUUCAUCUGCCUUUGUGCUCUCAAUCACAAGCUGUUGCUGGGCCCUGCUAUGCUUCCCUGCUUCCUCUCUCACUUGCGUGGGCUUCUGGUGCCCCCUGAACACGCCAGCAGGCUCAGCCCUUAGGGGCUGUGCAUUGUUCUUCCCACCGUCUGGAAAGAGCCUCUCUAGGCCCAAAUGUUUACAGUGGGGUCAUUUCUCUGCUCAGACUUCACAUCCUUGAUUAUGCUAAGUGAAAUAAGAAGAGAAAUAUGGAACAGAGAUGAUUAAAGUAGGUGAACUUGCCAAAAAUAGUAAGUGACCAAACGGAUCCUGGGGCUCUGCAAAAAAUUAAUACUGGUUAUCUGAGAAAAGGAAGGAAGGAGAGAAAGAGUGAAGGGGGUAGGUGGAAUGAUGGUGUGAUGGCAUAGGAACCCUGGUGGUGGGUGAGGUGAAUAACACACACACACACACACACACACACACACACACACACACACACACACACACGUGAAAUUAUACCCUUAAAGUCUUAUAGUAUUGUAAACUAACAAUGAAUCCAUAAAAAAUUAAUCGAAAUUGAACAAACUUGGCCUAAGGGAGGUCUUCCUUUUCUGAAGACCCUACCUAAAAUAAUUUCCCAUUCCUAUCUAUCCCAUGCUGCCUACGUGGUUCCAUAGAAUUGUUUUUUUCACUGUAUGUUGUAAUGCAACAUGUGUAUUUAUAAUCCUCUCCCCUCUGCCCUGCUGGAUGAGGGUAGGGACUAUAUGCAUAACUGUGGACCCCUGGUGCCUCACACCUUAACAUUUAGCAGGCACGAAACCCAUGUUAGAAUGAGAGUGUGAUUCUGGAACGUAGCAUAAACUAACCCACCAAUAGCAGUCUGCCAAAAUGUCCCUGUGUGCUGCCCAUGA